AGCAUCAUGGUCGCGUGGUAAGGACACUUGCCUCUCACCCUAAAGUCCCGGGUUCGAUCCCCGGUCGUGACGCAC